AUGGUCAAUACCACCCGUUGCUAAUGCUAUCUCUGAGUCGUUGUAUCAGCACGCAGCCGUCAUAAACAAUCUUCUAAGCAUGACUUAGACCAGGUGUCAUCAGUGACAGUGAAGGGCCUGCACUGGACCAGACACAGUUUGAUAAGUAGAUUUGACAACUUUUUAAAAUACGUGACACUCUGGCGUGCCAGGAGAACAAUGAACAGUACAAAUAUGCACUGAAUGUUCAUAUUCUUAUUACCAAAAUGUUGGUAUUAAUUAAAAUCAAUACCUCAUCUAAAACCAGGGGCGAUUUUAGUCAGCAGAAAAGUCAGUUACUUCAUUCAAACACUGAAAAUCUUUCAAAAUCAAUAAUUAAAUGAUGGAACUGACCUGUUAAAUGAAUAUGAUGUAAAUAAAUAAGUUUUACUCCAUCAGUACAUUCAUUCAUGCAGACUGUGUGAACAUGUAUCUUCAACACGUUCUCACUCCCAAAGUGUCACAUCUUACGCUAGGUGACAAAUCGUCAAGAUAUUACGUUUUCGGCUACCCACCAUGUACCUAAAUGAGGACCUUGGAAAAAUGAGGAAAUGUGAGAACCGUCUGGACUCAAUCUACACAUGGACGUGACAAAACUAUGGCAACACCGGUGUUGUGCCAAAAGUUUCUACCAGAGCCAAAUGUCAUCGACUCCUCACUGAAGUCGUCCACCAGUCCAACCACUGGAAUCCAGCUGCUGCUCUCUAACUGGUCCACACAGCAGCUCAGACCUGACACAUUCACUGUAAACACACUGGUUUAUAUUCUGUUUGUUCUCCUCAUGAAGUUAAGUACAAGCAGAGCUGAGAGUCGUCUGCUUAUCAAACAGCUACACAUUUUAUAGGAACAGGUUUUAUGGACAGAAAUCUAAAACCUGUGAAUCUGAAGUUCAGGAACAGAUUUUCCUGCAUCUACAGGAUGGAUCACAAAUUACAGUAAAAUAUUAUUUAAAACAUCUGCUUCAUGACUAAAGUGUUCAGCAGCAAGUUUCCAUAAAGAGUAAAGUAAAAAGUGACUCAAAUUUCUAAAGCGAGUCAGAACAGACACCAUGUUUAAGAAAAUCUUUAAUGUGCUCAUUUAAAGUUUAGAAAAGAAUUUAGUACUUUUAAUGAAUGUGAUGUUUGCCUGUAAGCUCUUAAAACUGUCUGUUUCACUGUGCAAUGUAAUAAACGAAAUUAACAUGAUUUAAUUUUUUACAUGUGAAGCAGCAGUACAGGUCAUUUGUAAUCAUGUGGUCAUGUGGAUUUGUUACACACCUUAGUAUCAUACAAAUGCACAUUUCAACGUCAAACUGUUAUUUUAAUAAAUGCAAAUCAUGUUUUUAUGUAAACAAAAUUAUUUGCAGCACUAAUAAACUUCCUUUAUGUACAAUGUGUUUGGUUUUCUCACAUGAACUCCUGUGAUGCAUUUUCCUGACAUUAAGCUGACAUUAAACACCUCAAAAACA